rnacentral:tRNA from 1 species
UGGGGCGUGGCCAAGUGGUAAGGCGACGGGUUUUGGUCCCGGUAUUUCGAAGGUUCGAAUCCUUCCGUCCCAG